UGGCGCACGCCUUUAAUCCCAGCACUUA
rnacentral:piRNA from 1 species